CGAGAUCGCGCCAUUGCACUCCAGCCUGGGCAACAAGAACGAAACUCCGUCUCAAUAAAUAAAAUGAAAUAAAAUAAAAUAAAAUAAGCAUUCGGGAUGCUGAAGCCUGCAGGAGUUGAAUCAGAGGGCGAGCUGCAGAGCGGAGGCACUGGGGCGGCGGGCCUUGCCCGGGCUCUUGGCUCCCAUGAAUCCUCGAUGAGUAGAGAAUCGUCGCUCGGAGCAAAGGCGAGAGGAGAGAGAAGCGUGCGGGUGCGGCCCUUGCUGCUUUUUACCAGGCGACACCCCGGUCGACUUUGACCCCCGAGCAGGUGAAACAUAAGCGUCCACCCCAGAGGGGUCCCCUACCCAAGUCAGAGGAGAAGGUGGCCUGCCAGGUUAAAGGAUCGAGUCCAGCCUCGGUUUCCUCAUCUGUAAAAUAAGCCGAGAACAUCCGCGCCUCUUUCUGGAGAAGGCUGGGAGGAUGCCAGAGAGAAACUGCGCGCAGGCCCUGGCGAGGAGCCCCUCCGGCCCAUGCGGAACUCUGCACAGGCUGGGUCCCUCCAGGGUUAGAAACCCAGCUUCCCCACCCCUACCCAGCAGGGACCCGCGCUGCAUCCCCUAACGCCCCCCAACCCUCUGCACCCAGACCCAAGAGCCGGCCUUCGACGCACCACAUGCGUGGAGCCCGGGUCCCAGCCCUGAGGACCAGGUUUCAGGGCUCAGAAGACUCCAGCGAGGUUCCCUCGCAGAUUGUGUCUGCGGUCGUUGGGGGAGGGGCCCCGCAGCCUUCAGCAGAUUAUCCAAAGGUCAGUGACCCAGAUAUGGUUUUGGCCACGGGCCAUGUUUCACUUCCUGUGCCCCAAGCAGAAUUUAGCUGAAUAAUUCGGACCCCAAACCAAACAAAACGCUCUUAUUUCCGUUUGGGGAUUCUUCGGAGUUGGGAUUUUUCUGUCUCAAAUUAGAAUAAUCUGCAUUAUUAACCACUUAACAGUUAUUUGUUGGUUGGCUGCCUGACCUUUCUGAGCCUCAGUUUCUUCGUCUGUAAAUUGGGAGCUUACCCAGGUCGGAGGACUGUUGGAAUUGGAAAUAUUCGAAUAAGGAAGUGUUUUUGCAAGUGCUUUGUAAGCAGCAAAGCGCUUCUUCAGGGGUCAAUUUUUUUUUAGCUCUGCAGUCACCACCCAAAUUCGGAAGAUCGUUGUGCCUUUCUUGGAUGAGAAUGCCCGGCUCCAGCCCGGGGAUGGGACGGUCUUUUCCUUGCUAGGAGUCCGCUGUGGAGGGGGCGAUGCGCUCUGUCCAGGACCUAGGAGUCCCUUUCUCCCUCCACCCUCGGCUCACAGCGGGCAGCUCCCCCGACGCGUACCGCCUCUUUGCCCCCAGCCUGAGGUGCGCUCUUCCCCAGGACGCCUCCUCUGUCCUCUGCACGCCGCCGGCCCUGCUGGGGUUGCUUUCUGCCGCGGCGUCUUCGCGAAUAUCCCCUCUUGCUGUCUGCCUGGGCGUCCCUCCGGGUUACCGCACACCGCCUCCGACCCUCCCAGGGCGCGGGAGGAGGGGCAGGGCAUCCGCGUUCGUGUCUGGGCCCUGGCGGGGAGUCGCGUGGUCCAACCCCUCGUUUUUAAGAGGAGGGAUCUGAAGCCCAGCUAGGCUUCUAAUUCCAGACAGAGCCCUACGGAGCCCAGUUCUCUGGAGGCUUUCCUGGGGCUUUUUUCACUAGGCCAGGUUGGGUGGGUCUGGAGAGAACUCCCGCAACCGGAAAUUAAAGAAAUGCAGAGAGAAACCUGGGGAGUGGGGCCACCCUGGUCCCCUGGGCAGGCUCCGGUCUCUGGACCAGUGGGGCAGCAGAGGCCUCGGGAGCUGCAGAGAUUUUCCUGGGCACACUCCUGAGGGGCCUGCUUCCAGAAGGGCUCCGAGGAGCAGACAAUGAAAGACCACCGACAGAAUUGCUGUUCACGGGCCAGGCGCAGUGGCUCAUGCCUGUAAUCCCAGCACUUUGGGAGGCCGGGCGGGUAGAUCACCUGAGGUCAGAAGUUUGAGACCAGCCUGGCCAACAUGGUGAAACCCUGUCUCUACUAAAAAUACAAAAAAAAGAAUCACUUGAACCCGGAAGGUGGAGGUUGCAGCGAGUCGACAUCGCACCACUGCAUUCCAGCCUGGGUGACAGAGUGAGACUCUGUCUCAAAAACAAACAAACAAACAAACAACAAAUACAAAAAACAUUAGCCAGGCGUGGCGGCAGGCGCCUGUAAUCCCAGCUACUUGGGAGGCUGAGGCAGGAGAAUCGCUUGAACCUGGGAGGCGAAGGUUGCAGUGGGCCAAGAUUGUGCUGUUGCACACUCCAGGCUGGGUGACAGAGCGAGACUCCAUCUCAAAAAAAAAAUAAUGAAGAAACUGUGUCAAAAAAAAAAAAAGAGCUGUUCAUGGAAAAAGAAUAACAAAAGCCCCACAGAAGGAGGGGACAGAGUUACACGGAACCUCCAGCCAGUGGUGAUGUGGCAAGGGACAGUCUUCAGGUGGCCUUUGUAGCAGCGUGGCUGCUUCCCCUGGGUUGACUCACUUUUCCUCCACCUGAUAGUCCAGGGGACAUGAGGGGACCAGGUCUUGGCCAGAUGCCAGAUCUGAGCAUUUUUCACUCAGGAUUCUCUCGCAUUGAGAGACACAGGCUCUGGCAACGGUGCCCAGUGUGAGUGGAAUUUGGGAACACUGUGGCCAGGUGGUUGGCACCCAAGCGUUUCCCUGUGUCCUGCAGGCACCCUGCCCUCUGGCCUGCAGCCCUUUUGCCAGGGCCACCAUGGCCCUUCCCACAGAGACCAGCACCCAAAGUGGGCAGGAGCAGGGCAAGAUCAGGGCCCAGCCUGGAAGCCCUUGCCCAACUGGGAACCCUCAGUAGGAACACAUAGCUGCAGCAAUACGUCUGGGGCUCCAGGAGGAGCUUAUCGCCUUUCUGUCUCUCUCCCUCACAGCCCAUUCAGCAGGGGCUUGAGCAGGGGACAGGGAGGCUGGUGAAAGGCCACCCGAGGCUGCUUUUCAAUGAAACUAUCUGUGUGCAGGAUAGAAUUACUUGUAUCAAGUACACCAAGACUUUUAAUCCAUUUUGUAAUCAAACAGGGCAUCUCUCUGGGCCCCUAUGAGCCUGAGAUGACAGCGUAGUUCCACCCACUUCACAGGUGGGGAAACUGAGGUGAUGGAGAGGGUCAGAAGUAAUCCCUUUCAGCCCAGCAGGCACUGGGGAAUUCUGAGCUCUGGGCUCCCAGGCCACCCCAGACUGGCUGAAGAAUGAGCAACACGUUGCCCUGGGUUCCUCCUUCUGUCCCCAGCCAAGAUGGGUUCUGCUUCUGGUUGGAGCUCUUCCACCAUCUCUCUGUACAACUUUGGGCUAGACGUGUGUGCCUUGGUUUCCAGCUGUGCACCAGGGCAGUGCUGGCCGGUCCGUCUGUUGUCUGGAGUGGCUAUGCACCUCAAAUGGGACAGAGGAGGGGAGAGAACUUUGCUAAGUAGAAAAUGCUAGACCCGGCCAGUCACGGUGGCUCAUGCCCUG
rnacentral:lncRNA from 10 species